AAAAGAGAGCAAAAAAGUCGCGUUAACAUACCCAAGUCAAAUCCACUACGGGACCGAUUCGUCUCGGUGGGCCUGACAUUCUUCGUUUAUCCAAAGCCCAACGGUCCACAUUAUACGACUCGCGUUGGACUUUUUGGGCUGGUACGGGCUCGUGUAGGAAUCUUCCUGUUUAGGAGUUCUGUCCGUGUUUUAAUUUCAAAAGUGCAAAACUUUGCGUUAGUUCAACAUUGGCUGUUUUUGAGUUUUGGCAUGUACGACACUUCUAUUGAGAUUUGAAGCUUCUUCUUUCGCAUGACUAAAGCGGGCGUGGGCAGCGGCGCAUUCACCUCGCUGGACAGAUGAUUUGAGAGAAUUUUUCUCUCGACAGACUUCACACUGAAAACUCAGAAACCAAGGCAUUGAGCCAUCCGUUUUCCUU